AAAAUUGAUGUAGAUACAAUCAAAACGGAAAGCGAAAGAUAUCCAGCAAGAAUUUUAAAAUUUGGAGAUGACUUUGACUCCAUGGAUUCAUGCUUAGAGAUGUAUCUGAAAAGUGGAAAACUUCAACUCCUAAAAGAGGAAAAGGUCAAAGAAUCUCACAAAGGAAUUAUAAAUACCAUUCCGACUCCGAUAAGGAGGAUUAUGAAGUCCAGUUUGGUUCACAUAUAAGUAAAAAACCCCCUUUAAAGAGAAGAAAAGUGUAGAAAGAUAGUUCAAAGAAAAACUCCUUAUAUAUUACAUGGUUAAAGAAAACAUAAACAAAUAGAGUGCAAAAUGAAGAAGACAACUUAAACGAGAAUGGUUCUGUAAGUAUAUAAACUUUUUGCAGUUCUUAGCAGUUGACGUUGCCCAGAUAGAGUAAGUUUUGCUUUCUUAUUUAACGUAUUUGAGAUUUGCCUGGUGAAAGGGUAUUGGUAUUAUAAAUGACCUAAAUUAUUA